rnacentral:lncRNA from 1 species
CUCUAACGGCUAUAUUCUUGUUUCCACGCCAUCUAAAGCUAUAAAAACAAGAAGAGAGCUAGGGGAGAACUUAUGGAAGUGGGAAAGAAUAUUUAGAGAAGAGAUCUCAAAGAGAUUACAAGAAAAAUACUCCCAUAAGCACAAAAGGGCCAUCCAAAGUGAAAUAGAGAGAAGAAGAGCAUCCAAGUGAAUCCCAAAGCUUCCUCUCCAUCCGUGUGCUGCCUCAAUCAUCCUCUACCUCGUGCCAAAUCAGAAGAGGGUCAAGUAAAGAAGAAGCCGAGUUCCUUCAUCUUCAAAAUUCGUUUGAGAGCUUCUCUUUACACUAUUUUGUUUAUAUUGUUAUAUUUGCUUGUUUAAGAAGCUUUGAUUUAUUUUAAACUUUGUUUUUAAUAUCUUGUAACUUGAUUCAAUCAAGGGAUUGAAUCAAGGGGUUAAGGUUUGUUGGUGAGCCAAAGGGAAAACCAACGGUGAAAGGUUUGUUGGUGAGCCUAGGUUGAAACCAACGGUGUAAGGGUUUGAUUGUGAUCCCGGAAAAACAAUCGGGGUGGUUCUAGUCGGUGAGCCUGGGAAAACCGACCGAGUUCGUUGUGCGCUCGUAAAACAACAAGUUGGGUUGUGAGCUUGUAAAACAACCAGCUGUAAUCUGUAGGAUU